GACGAACGCUGGCGGCGUGCUUAACACAUGCAAGUCGAACGGGCCCGCCCCUGUUUUUGGGGGUGGGUUGAGUGGCGAACGGGUGAGUAUCACGUGAGUAACCUGCCCCCUGCUCCUGGAUAACUGCUUGAAAGGGCGGCUAAUACGGGGUGUGCCGGCUGGUCCGCAUGGGCCUGGUCGGGAUAGUUUCAUCUUCGGGUGUUUCGGUGGGGGAUGGGCUCGCGGCCUAUCAGCUUGUUGGUGGGGUGAUGGCCCACCAAGGCGGUGACGGGUAGCCGGCCUGAGAGGGUGGGCGGCCACACUGGGACUGAGACACGGCCCAGACUCCUGCGGGAGGCAGCAGUGGGGGGUAUUGCACAAUGGGCGGAAGCCUGAUGCAGCGACGUCGCGUGAGGGAUGGAGGCCUUCGGGUUGUGAACCUCUUUCUCCGGUGGUGAAGGCCCUGUCCGUUGCGGCGGGGUUGACGGUAGCCGGGGAUGAAGCGCCGGCUAACUACGUG
rnacentral:rRNA from 1 species